UAAUAAGUGUUUUUAUGGCACUUUUUAAAUCCAUAUCCACCUUGUGUGCAAUGUCAGUCGAUCUUCUUCAUGGAGAUCGACCAAACAUCAACCUUUAUCUUUUAACUCUUUGUCUGAAAAAUAUUAUGAAUAAACAAUUCAAAUAUAC
rnacentral:misc_RNA from 1 species